rnacentral:rRNA from 1 species
GACGUAGGGAGCGAGCGUUGUCCGGUUUCAUUGGGCGUAAAGGGUCCGUAGGCGGCUCAGCAAGUCGGGUGUGAAAUCUCCAGGCUCAACCUGGAGGGGCCACUCGAUACUGCUGUGGCUUGAGUCCAGUAGGGGAGCAUGGAAUUCCCGGUGUAGCGGUGAAAUGCGCAGAUAUCGGGAGGAACACCAGUGGCGAAGGCGGUUCUCUGGGCCAAUACUGACGCUGAGGAGCGAAAGCGUGGGGAGCAAACAGG